AAAUGCUCUUUUUUGUUGUAUUGACUGAGAUUUGAAAAAAUGAUAAUGCCUCUCAUCUUCUUUUUCAAGAGACUCCUCAGCAUGUGAAAAAAAUUGGGCUAAAGGAUGUUUAGACGUGAUAUUUUUAUAGCUUAAUAAUGUUAUUAUUUAUGUAUUAAUAUGAUUAGUCUUGAGUAGGUUUCUAACCAUUGGUGGUAUAACUUAUUAUUCUUACCAUUAUGUUGUCAGUUCAGAAGUGGUUUUCGAAUGGCAUAUGAUGUGUUGUAUUUUGUUCAGACAUGUGUAACCAUUUAAGUUAGGGAAAUUUGAACUCAUAACAAUAGGAACACACAAAACAAAGAUUCUAACCAUUGCAUACUUUAGGCUACGAUAUAGUCGGUAUAUUUAUGUAUAAUGGCAAAAAUACCCAACAUGCGCGUGAAAAAACGUUGGCCCCACCACUUCUUCCAAUUUCACUUACCCCUGGCAACUGAACAAUUUCUUCUCCCGUUCUACACUCAACAAAGCGACAACAAAGACGGAUUUGGAGAAAGUUCACUUUUGUUUCACUUGUGAAACAAGGCGGACUAUUUGUCAUAUCGUUGUGGGUUAAAGCGUGAGGCAACACUACUUCAAAUUUUGGGUACAAAAGGUGGUGGUAAAUGUCGUUGGUGGCUCCAAUUCAGAGAAGAAAAGGAAGACAUCACGGCAGCCAAUAUAUUGCAGAUCUGUGGUUGAGGGGUGAAUGGCUUCGGAGUAUAAAGAAAGGUUUAUCGUGUGUUGCAUUGCUUGUUCUCAUUGACCUCAAUGCCACUCAGUGCAUGCACCAGUGUACGACCCUAACGAAAGAGGCAUUUUAAACUGCAGUUAUGCCAUAUGCAAUUGAAGCAUUCUCCACAUUUAACCCACACCAACUCCCGUAAUAAUCCACUUGAUGCUUCCCCUCUGUUUAACUUUCUUCAGCUGAGACAUUGAACUUAUCGCAUUUUCUUAACUUUUUCCAUAAGCGUGCACUUUGGACUUCUAUGUCGUCCGAAUUUCUUGUAUUAUUUCGAAUUAUAUCUUAUUUUCAACUAAGCGCAACGUAUUUAUUUA